AGCUUUUGGGCUGCCAGUCUAGGGUGCUGUUGGACGUCUCGCCCGCGAGGCACUGAGGUGGAUGUGGCGGGACCCGGAACACUGUGGGAAGGUGCGGAGAGCGCGGGAGGGAGGAGGCCGCUAACGGCAGGAGGCCGGGCGGGCGCCGUCCACCCCGCGUCCCGCUGCAGGGCCCGGGGCCCCCACCUCCCCUACCUUCGGCUUUCCACGGCAGCCGAGGGGCAGACACAAUCCCCACAAUUCCAGGCGGCUGCAGCGGCAACCAGCUCCUCGUGCGCAAACGCCGUCCAGCGGCUGCCGAAGGCUGAAGGCGCGUGGCUAUUACGUCACUCUCAACCUUGCCCAAUGAUAACUUGCCAGAACAGCCUCCAGCAACUCUCACCCCACGCGGCAUUGUUAGCCCCGCCUUCCUCAGCUGCUAAGCCCCGCCCCUAGCGUCUUCCUCCGCAAAAAAUGCUGAAAUUUGUUCAUGUCCCUCCGCUGGGAGCUGUAUCUAAAAAUAGCUACCCGUGGGCCUGCUCUUGUUUCCCACCUAGAACUUCAGUUUCUUGUUUAAUUUCCCAAGACCGUAAUUUCUUUCUAGUGUAAAGAUCUUCAGAAAGAAACCUGAGUGGGUGGGAGGUAAAUAUAAAUCACGAUGUUAUGACUCAGUUUGUGACACACAUUGAACCUCAAGCAAUAAAUAGUCCUUUGAAAAAUGUAUGCAAAAUAGAGUACCUGUAAGUAGUCACUAGCUUUAUAUAAUUGUGUUUUGAGUAUGUUUUUUAAAUGAUAAAUUAUUUGAACGAUAAAUAGGACACCUGAAUUUCUAAUCCUGCCAUACCACUGACCGGUGACGCACAUACACGAUCAUUUCACAAGAUUAGAAUUGCUGUCCUCUUUUCUUACAAAGACGAUGUUCUCACAGAGAAUGUUCUAGUUUGCUUUGCAUUGCUAUGAGAAAAUACUGACCAAAAACAAUUAGAGAAAGGGGUUUAACUUACAGGUUACAGUCUGUCAUCCAACCAAGUCAGGUCAGGAACAUGAGGCAGGAACUAAAGCAAAGACCACCAAGGAAUGCCACUUACUGUCCUUCUUACUCUGGCCUGCUUAGCUGCCUUUCUUACACAGCUUAGUCCCACCAUCCUAGGGAUGAUACUACCCACUGUGAUCUGGGCCCUUCUUCAAUAAUCAAUCUUGAAAAUGCUCACACACACGCCCAAAGCCCAAGCUGCUGGAGGCAGUUCCUCUACUGAGGCUCUUCCUGGGUCAAGUUGACAACUUUAACUGAAGCUAUGCCAGGAUAAAGGAUCUAUGCAAGGUCACAGAAUGAAAACGGUAUCAGAUGGAUAGGACACUCCCAAAGUCGUAUUUUCCUUUUUUUAAUCAUUUAUUUUUAUCUUAUGUUAAUUGAUAUUUUGUUUGCAUGUAUGCCUGUGUGAGGGUGCCAGAUCCCCGAGAACUGGAUAUACAGAAAGGUGUGAGCCACCAGGUGGUUGCUGGGAAUUGAGCCCAGGUCCUCUGGAAGAGCAGCCAGUGCUCCUAACCACUGACCCAUCCCUCCAGCCAUUCCCCUGAAAUCAUCUUUUCUUGCUACUAUGUCACAUAUACACAGACCCAUUAAAGCAGACUAGUAAAAUAGUUGCCAGUGGUUCUAGGCCACUUGUGGGUGGAGAAAAGGAUAAUUCAUGCCAGCAGUGUCCUCAAAUGGCAAAUAUUCCCCCAAGAUACAACCAUCAAUUUAUUUCUGAAAUUCCUUUGCAUUCUUUGUAUAUUAGGUUAGCUUCCAGCUUUCUGUUUACCCUCUUAAUUAUGUUUAUUUCAAGCAGGUGGGAGGUUGGCUUCGGAGUCACUGGGCAAAGCCUCAGGUGUCAGCUAGGGAGGGAGGGCGUGCUCCUCCUGAGCGGGGGCUGGAUGAGUAGUAGUACCAGCCAGUGAGAAGUGAUAAAACAGGUCUUUGGGUUCUAGAUAGGAAAGAUGAGAGAGAGCUUACUCUCCGGUGCCAUGCUCCUAUCGCCUUGCCAUCAUAAAGGAGAACAAACCACAAAACACACGCACCAAAGAAACCCCUCUCAUCCUUAGGGUGCUUUUUAUCAGGUACUUGUCUCAGCAAUGAAAAACAAGUAAGGAUACAGGGAAUACAUGUGUGCGGUGAGGAUUUUGGUCUCUUUUAAAACCCAGUUAUGUUGCGGGAAUACGUUUUUGUUUUAAUCCCAGGUGUGGGAUAUGAGGCCGCUUCAGAUUGUCCACAGCUGCUAUGGUUUUUGCCAGCUGCAGAUAGUGUAUGUUUGGAAUUCUGUGUAUUCUCGAGAGGAAUAAAUGCAAGAGCUCCAAGAGGGCCCGUAAAGGCUGCUGCUUCCGUUGCUGCUGCUGCUUCCACUUCAACUUCCUGCUAUUGCUUUUGUUGCUUUUGCUAUUGCUAUUGCUAGUUUGCUGGCUGGAGAUAUCCUGACAACAAUGAAGACUGGAUUUGCUCCAAGGAACUCUACAUUCCUAAUCCACAGGAAGUAGUCUAAAGAGAUCCACGCCCCCUUACCCCUCUAACCUUCUUUCUCUCCUACCUAGUGUUGGGUUGGAAGGGAUGAGAGUGGAGUAAGGUUGGAGAAGGGGGGUAGUAAGAUAUAAGAACCCAAUAAAGUAGCCACCAAAAUACACCUGCAGAUCUUAAGCUUGGGGUCAGUCUGGUCUACACAGUGAGUUCCAGGACAGUCCCAGAGCUACCAUAGUUAGACCGUGUCC
rnacentral:lncRNA from 1 species